CGUGGUCGCGGCAAAUAAGGCUAUUUGCGACCAACAUCCUUAUUAGUUACUGAAUGGUUAUCCUACACCGACGAAAUGGAUAUUUGGUCGCGGAAAAGCAAAACCAAGUUGGCGGGGUGGAGGUAAACGUUUGGCGACUAACGUUUCGUCGCGGAUAAUAAGGCUAUCUGCGACCACCAUCCUUGUUAGUUACGGAAUAAUUAUCCUACACCGACGAACUGCAUAUUUGGUCGCGGAAAAGCAAAACCAAGUUGGCGGGUGGCGGUAAAACUUUGGGCGACUAACGUUUGGUCACGGAAAAGAAGGCUAUCGGCGACUAACAUCCUUGUUAGUGACGGAAUAAAUAUCCUACACCGACGAAAUGCAUAUUUAGUCGCGGAAAAGCAAUACUAAGUUGGCACGAGUCCAAUAUUUCGCGCGGGCUGGAGGAAAAACUAACGAUGUUGUGCUAGCCCCUGUAAAAUGCUAAUUUCUAAGUUCAAAAAAAGAAAAAACUACUUAUUUUCAAAUGGUGCCAUUUGACAUCUUAAUUCACUUAGGAAUGCAUAUUCUUGUCUCUUCGGCUAAAUCUCAAUCCCACAACUUUUCUUCAUACUUAAAUUCUUUUUUUUAUUAUUAUUAUAAUAUAAUUUUAAAAGCUCGAGCUCGAUGCUUGACUCCUUAUCAAAUAAAUAUAUGGAUCGACAGGAUACGCGACAUGAGGACGUGGCAGGAACGAAAAUUCGCUUAAAAAUAUAUAGAAUUUUUGGACAUCCUACGGGCAGGAUCGAAAAUCCGCUCCGAAAUAAAUUUGCACGCAUCCUUUUUAGUUACUGAAUGAUUGUUUUACAUCAAUUAAAUGCAUAUUUGAUCGUAGAAAAUCAAAAUCAAGUUGGCGCGAGUCCAGUAUUUCGCGCGGGCUGGAGGUAAAAGUUUUAGCGACUAAAUUUUGGUUCCUAAAGGUUCAUAUGUAGCGACUAAACCAAUUUAGUCGCGAAAAGUAUGAAUGCAGGGAAACCAAAUAAAAAAAAACCUAAUUCCCUAUUUUUCUCCUUUUCACCCGCACGUCGCCUUCAUCCCGCCUUCACCCCGCCUUCACCCUUUCGCCCGUUCGGUCAUCCCUUCGGCGUCGGCGUCCCAAGGAUACAAAAAUAAAUCUAUAAACUAAUCAAUCUAACUUGAUGAAGUACUUUGUAGGUCAGUCAAAAUGGACAAGAGUUGGAUGACAAUAAAAAAUAGAAUGAAGAGUAAAGUGUAUAGAGAAGGGGUGAAGUCCUUUAUUGAAUUUGCGGUGGCAAAUUUAAGCUCAGCAAAUGAUAUUUGGUGUCCUUGUGUCGAGUGCAUGAAUGACAAAAAACAAAGCAUUCAAGUUGUCAAGAUUCAUUUAAUGUUAAAAGGAAUCUCGCCUUCUUAUAAGACUUGGGUGCAACAUGGAGAAUAUGCAAUUGAAGGCACAAUAUGAAAUUGCAUUACAAGCAUGUUAAGAACGUCUUACAUAUGGAUCCUUAUAGUCAUCCAUACGAACAUGUGACUCAAGAGGAUUGGCGCCACUUAAUUGACGAUGUGUGGAAAAGCAAAGAACACAAGGUAACUUACAUAUUUAGUGCUUCAGAGUUUAUAAGUAAAAUAUUUGAUCAUAAUGUUUUCUUUAGAUUUUUAAUUUGUAUUUUUUUUGAAGGUGAGAUCAAAAGCAGGCAAAAAGAAUAGGAAAAAGCUUGAGUACAAUCAUUGUUCAGGAUCUCGGUCAUUUGUUGCAACAAUGACUAUACAGAAUUCUAUAAGAAAACUCAUACCAAGAAGAACAAAGAGUGGAUUGAUCCUAUUUACGCCGUGAAACAUGUAGGUAUCUAAAAUCUCAAUAAUAAUUUAAAUCACUUUAUGCUUUUGCAAGAUUAUAUAUACAUUUAAUUCUGUUGUUACCUUUGCAUUGACAGUCAAAGAUGUUGAGCUUGCGAGAAGAAUCUUUCUAAUCCGGUGUGCAAUUAACAUCAGAGGAGAUGUCUAGGCAGGCACUUGGAAAAAGGAAGAGAUACAUUCUUGGAUUUGGGGAUGGGCCGAAGCCCUCUUCAUCUUCUUCCACACCUAGUCGUGUGUCACAAGACCAUGUUGGGGAGUUACAGAAACUUAAAGCUGAGAUGGAGGAGAUGAAGAUGGAGCGUGAGAUGGAGCGUGAGGAGCUGCGGAGGCAAUUGGAACAGGAGAGGAGAAAGCGUGAGGAGGAAAAGAAAGAGCGAGAGGAAGAACAGAAGCAAAUUGCACAUCUUACAAGUUUGGUGACAGAGUUCUUAAAGGAAAAGACUCAAACGCAUAAGUCGUCUAUCCAUCAUGAUGGGGCCAUGUCAUCAACUGGUGGCACAAAUACUCGUUGAUACAUGGUGGAGUUAUGAGCAUGUGAAUCUAGUUUUUGGUACAUGAAUAGCUUUUG